CGUAUCUCUGGAGCGCUUCUGCGUGCGGAGCGCUGUGCCGAGCGCUCGGGAGAUUCCGAC
rnacentral:pre_miRNA from 1 species